CACUAUGCUUAGCCCUAAACACAAAUAAUUACAGAAACAAAAUUAUUCGCCAGAGUACUACCGGCAACAGCCCGAAACUCAAAGGACUUGGCGGUGCUUUAUACCCUUCUAGAGGAGCCUGUUCUAUAAUCGAUAAACCCCGAUAAACCUCACCAAUCCUUGCUAAUACAGUCUAUAUACCGCCAUCUUCAGCAAACCCUAAAAAGGAACAAAAGUAAGCUCAAUCACAACACAUAAAGACGUUAGGUCAAGGUGUAACCCAUGGAAUGGGAAGAAAUGGGCUACAUUUUCUACCUUAAGAAAAUUAAUACGAAAGCCAUUAUGAAAUUAAUGACCAAAGGAGGAUUUAGUAGUAAACUAAGAAUAGAGUGCUUAGUUGAAUUAGGCCAUGAAGCACGC
rnacentral:rRNA from 1 species